GCCAUUACAGAUUAAGUCAAAACAAGAUAGUAUUCCAUUUAGUGUUCAAAUAUUGUUAUGAACAUGAUUUGUUGUCUUCGUGACCUUCAAAGUAUAUAUAAGAAAAAUUAAUACAAUACAAUAUCAAUACAAUCUCAAACAAUUAUCUGUUCCAGAAACAAAGGCAGAAAUAAGAGAAGUGGCAACUCGUCGCCAAAGGAAGGAAGCAAAGGAGACACAUAAAUAGCCGGAAGCUUUCUCCAGCAGCCACACUUGACUCCUCGUGUUUCCGAAAGCAGAAGAGUUGAACAGCCUUCACCAUGAAACUGACUGGCUUUAAGAUCCCUUUGCAGUUGCUUGCAGUUGCUCUGGUGUGCAACAUGACCUCGGCGAUUGCUAAUCCUAUUGCUCUUCCUCUUCCUUUCCCUAUCGCUGAUCCUAUUGCUCUUCCUCUUCCUUUCCCUAUCGCUGAUCCUAUUGCUCUUCCUCUUCCUCUCCCUAUCGCUGAUCCUAUUGCUCUUCCUGAACCUCUUCCUAUCGCUGAUCCUAUUGCUCUUCCUCAAGAUUCCCCGAACACUGAAGGUGCGUGAGAGCGGCCCUUCGACGCCCCGAACAGCUGAUCUUGACCCCAGACCAUUUCUCCUGAAACUGAAUAAAUGCUUCGUCGCCCCGAACAGCUGAUCUUGACCCAAGACCAUUUCUCAUGAAACUGAAUAAAUGCUUGUAGUUGCUGCGA